UUUAUAUAUGAUUCUUAUAUUGACCUGAGUUAUUUUAUAUUCUUUUAUACUUAAAAUAUUAUUACUUAAUGCAAGUUGCACUUUUAUAACUAGGACUUGAUUGUGCUUUAAAAAUUAAAUGAUCUGAAGAAAUUUUCUUCUCUAAAAUUAAUUUACAUGUAGUUGAAUAUCCUUGACUUCAAUGGACAGAAUUGUUCUCAUAGUUGCUAAACUAAAGACCUUUGUAAAUCUAGAGGUAAAAAAGUAUAAGUAAUUGAGAAUCAGCAUGUGUAGAAAACAACAGAUUUCAGAUAUUUUAAUCUUGAAUCAUAUGCAGUAUUUGAAGAGUUUGUGAAUAUGAAAUUAAAUCUCCUGCUUUGGUGUGCUAAUAAAUUGCACUGGGUGAACAUUAUUUUAGUUACUUGUAUUCUAAUGAAUACUAAACUGUUAUAAAUUGCAAUGAUUAUGUAAUCCAGUAUAAUUUGGUUUAUGACCUUACUCUGUUAAGGAAAAAAAAAACCCCACAGUACUGUGAUAGUUAACUCCUUUUUAACAUAGGCUUUCAAUAAAAAUUAAGCAAAAGAAUUAUUUAAAAUUAUGGUCCUGCAUAGAUUGUAUGAGAAAUCUAAAGUUUAACCUUUCCAUCAGAUUGCCUGUUCUUUCACACUUUUUCUAGGUCUUUCCCCUUAUACCUUUCCUCUUACCAGCAACUUCAUUCUUUCUCUCUCCAGUCCUUCCCUUUCAGCUCUAAGGCAUACACAGAUCUUCUCAUUCU